GACGAACGCUGGCGGCGUGCUUAACACAUGCAAGUCGAACGGAAAGGCCUGCUUUCCCUUGUGGAUUGCGGGUACUCGAGUGGCGAACGGGUGAGUAACACGUGAGUGAUCUGCCCCCAACUUGGGUAUAAGCCUGGGAAACUGGGUCUAAUUCCCGAUAGGACUGCAGGGUGGUGUCUGUGGUGGAAAACGAUUUUCUAGUGGUUGGGGAUGAGCUCGCGGCCUGUCAGCUUGUUGGUGGGGUAAUGGCCUACCAAGGCGGCGACGGGUAGCCGGCCUGGGAGGGUGGACGGCGACAUUGGGACUGAGAUACGGCCCAGACUCCUACGGGAGGCAGCAGUGGGGAAGAAUGCACAGUGGGCGGAAGCCUGAUGCAGCGAUGCCGCGUGGGGGAUGACGGCCUUCGGGUUGUAAACUCCUUUCGACCGCGAGGAAGCCACCUGGUUGGAAGGGUGGUGACGGUAGUGGUAGAAGAAGCACCGGCUAACUACGUG
rnacentral:rRNA from 1 species